rnacentral:rRNA from 1 species
AGCAGCCGCGGUAAUUCCAGCUCCAAUAGCGUAUAUUAAAGUUGCUGCAGUUAAAAAGCUCGUAGUUGAAUUUCGGGACUAAUAUGUCGGUCGUGCCUCGGUACGUACUGGCUUAUUGGUUUCUCCUUUCUGAAGAACCAUGAUGUCAUUUAUUUGGUGUCGUGGGGAUUCAGGACUGUUACUUUGAAAAAAUUAGAGUGUUUAAAGCAGGCUCACGCUUGAAUACAUUAGCAUGGAAUAAUGAAAUAGGACGUUUGAUUCUAUUUUGUUGGUUUCUAGGAUCGACGUAAUGAUUAAUAGGGAUAGUUGGGGGCAUUAGUAUUCAAUUGUCAGAGGUGAAAUUCUUGGAUUUAUUGAAGACUAACUACUGCGAAAGCAUUUGCCAAGGAUGUUUUCAUUAAUCAAGAACGAAAGUUAGGGAUCGAAGACGAUCAGAUACCGUCGUAGUCU